rnacentral:rRNA from 1 species
UACGUAGGGUGCAAGCGUUGUCCGGAAUUAUUGGGCGUAAAGAGCUCGUAGGCGGUCUGUCGCGUCUGCUGUGAAAACCUGGGGCUUAACCCCGGGCCUGCAGUGGGUACGGGCAGACUAGAGUGUGGUAGGGGAGACUGGAAUUCCUGGUGUAGCGGUGAAAUGCGCAGAUAUCAGGAGGAACACCGGUGGCGAAGGCGGGUCUCUGGGCCGAUAUUGACGCUGAGGAGCGAAAGCGUGGGGAGCGAACAGG